rnacentral:rRNA from 1 species
ACGGGAGGCAGCAGUGAGGAAUAUUGGUCAAUGGACGGAAGUCUGAACCAGCCAUGCCGCGUGCAGGAAUAAGGCCCUAUGGGUCGUAAACUGCUUUUGUGGUGGAGCAAUAAGGCGUACGUGUACGUCGAUGAGAGUACAUCACGAAUAAGCAUCGGCUAACUCCGUGCCAGCAGCCGCGGUAAUACGGAGGAUGCAAGCGUUAUCCGGAUUUAUUGGGUUUAAAGGGAGCGUAGGCGGCCUUUUAAGUCAGCGGUCAAAUGUCAGCGCCCAACGCUGGCCUGCCGUUGAUACUGAUGGGCUUGAAUACACACAAGGAAGGUGGAAUUCGUCGUGUAGCGGUGAAAUGCUUAGAUAUGACGAAGAACUCCGAUUGCGAAGGCAGCCUUCUGGAGUGCGAUUGACGCUGAGGCUCGAAAGCGCGGGUAUCAAACAGGAUUAGAUACCCUGGUA